rnacentral:misc_RNA from 1 species
GUGGUGGGAAUGAGCUUCAGAUACUCUUCCAUGGCAGGCCCUUGAUUUUUGAGGGUGAUCGAAGAAGAGGGAAUAAUCAGUUGAUGAAAUACGGCAAUUUUCUUUUCCACACGCUUAGUGCUUAUUCUNNNNNNNNNNNNUAGGCAGAUGCCUUAACUCCUGCAGACUUGAGUCUAAUCAGAGGUGUACCUGUGGAUUUUUAUGUGAUCUUAUAGCUCCUGAAAUUAGAAUUGGAAUAGGAUUAGGAUUAGGAAUUGGAAUUGGAAUUAGAAUGGGCAUUGGUAUUGGGUUGAUGAAUUUAAUUUUAUUAAUUUUUUUGACAUGGACAUAUAUAUCCACCGCUGAAGGAAGCAAAGCGAAGGCAGCUCAGCUAAACUCUCGGUGCACCGUGCCUGGAACUUGUUGAGCACUUCGAUGGAGAUUAAAAUUCAAGUGAUGGAGACCUUUCAAGAGAAGAGUAAUGGCAAUC